UCCUCCCUAAUCUAAAUCGCCGAACCCGAUUUCCUUCUCCCCUCUCUUCUCCCCGAUCUCCCCUCUUCCUCUCUCUGUUCUCUCGCGGACAAGCAAUGCCGACGGAAGCCAGGCUCCAGCUCCGGCAAUCUUUCUCCACCGACAUCGACGCCCAUUGAGCUCAGGUCCGACCGGUGUCUUCCUCUCGGGGCCGCUUCACAACAUCGCGUCUUCUCACGCCUACCUGCCGACGCCACUGGAUCGAGCGAGAUCCACCCGAUCGCUGGUGGGGGUUUUCUUCCGGAGGUUCGAGAGAGGGGCUGGCUUCACCCGAGCCUUUCUCCUUGUGCAACUGUGCCCUAGGUCUCUUCGGUUGGCUCCGAUCAGAUGUCGCGGCAACAGAGCCGUGCCCUAGCAACGAUCCUUAAGGUCACGGAUUGGGCAAUUUCUUUUAGAGACAACCGAUUGAGUGAGGUUAUGUGCUCCUGCGGUGGAUCUGGAAUUGGGUUCUAUGGCAGCUUGGUUUCCAGCAGUGUUCUGUGAGGUUGCUUAUUUUUGGUUCGGCAGCUAUAAUCCCUGCUGUGGAUCAACCGAUUAGAGCAAGGAAUUGAGGAUUCUGAUUCGAGACAGGCGUCUCGAAGUUGACAUUGGAUUAGGACUGGAUUGUACCUU